GGCAGACAUGGCUCCUACCGCAUGGGCCGCCGAGUCCGAGUAUCCUAAAGGCAUCCGGGCCGUGCUGCUAGGGCCUCCCGGGGCUGGUAAGGGAACCCAGGCACCCAGAUUAGCUGAAAACUUCUGUGUCUGCCAUUUAGCCACUGGGGACAUGCUGAGGGCCAUGGUAGCUUCUGGCUCAGAGCUGGGGAAAAAGCUGAAGGCAACGAUGGACGCUGGGAAGCUGGUGAGUGAUGAAAUGGUAGUGGAGCUCAUUGAGAAGAACUUGGAGACCCCUUCCUGCAGAAAUGGCUUCCUUCUAGAUGGCUUCCUUCGGACCGUGAGGCAGGCAGAAAUGCUUGAUGGCCUGAUGAAGAAGAGGAAAGAGAAACUUGAUUCUGUGAUUGAAUUCUGCAUCCCAGACUCCCUGCUAAUCCGGAGGAUCACUGGAAGGCUGAUUCACCAGAAGAGCGGCCGAUCAUACCAUGAGGAGUUCAAUCCCCCGAAGGAGCCCAUGAAAGAUGAUAUCACAGGGGAGCCCUUGAUCCGUCGAUCCGAUGAUAAUGAGAAAGCCUUGAAAAUCCGCCUGGAAGCCUAUCACACUCAGACUACCCCGCUUGUGGACUACUACAGGAAACGAGGAAUCCACUCUGCCGUCGAUGCCUCCCAGACCCCUGAUGUUGUGUUUGCAAGCAUCCUAGCAGCCUUCUCCAAAGCC